rnacentral:rRNA from 1 species
UACAGAGGGGGCAAGCGUUGUUCGGAAUUACUGGGCGUAAAGGGCGCGUAGGCGGCCUGCUAAGUCGAACGUGAAAUCCCUGGGCUCAACCCAGGAACUGCGUCCGAUACUGGUUGGCUUGAAUCCGGGAGAGGGAUGUGGAAUUCCAGGUGUAGCGGUGAAAUGCGUAGAUAUCUGGAGGAACACCGGUGGCGAAGGCGACAUCCUGGACCGGCAUUGACGCUGAGGCGCGAAAGCCAGGGGAGCAAACGGGG